CUCUAAUCCAAGAACCUGAAACAAUUAACGUUAACCGAAACCAAGAAGAAGAAGACGAAGACGAAGAAGAAGUUUGGGGGGGUUAAACUGAACUGAGAAAUUUCUCGCUCCGUCUCGUCUUUCCCGAAAUCGACAUUCCACCAUACACGCAAAGCUACGACGCAACAGAGCUCGCGUUAGAUCUAAAGACUGCGACCCGCGAGGACAUCAAGCCACCCACCAUCGAGAAGAGCAGAACGAACGACGAAGGGAGAGCUAUCUGGCGUGGUCCUCAAGAAUCAGGAACCUCCUCCAACGCCGACGCGACGGUCCUCGCCAGCCAGGUCCGGCAGCAGAUCCGGCCGAUUCGAGGAAGGAGGAUCUAAUGGUGAUUGUGGCGGGGUGGUGAUUUUGGGAUACUCAGCUGCGAAGACGAAAGGACAGUUGACUGGAUGGACAAGAACAAGAGCAGGACUGAUCUUCUUGCAGCUGGGCGCAAAAAGCUUCAACAAUUUCGUCAGAAAAAGGACGGGAAGGGCAGUUCUAGCCAUGGAAAAUCCUCAAAAAAGCUUGGUAAAUCUGAGCAGAAUGAGAAGACUGAUCCUGAUAUCAUGCCUACUUCCUCCGCACUUCUGACAGUAGUGCACACUGAUGAGGUGGAGAGUGGUUCGCAACAUCCUGAAUCUGAGGUGGGUGCUGAACACAGAACACUGCCACAUGGAUCAGAGAAUGCAGCAGCUUCUCCCGAUGUCUCCAUUGAGACUCAUGGUCCAAGUUCAAUUCCCCUGUCAAUUGUCUCUAACAUUAAAGAAAGCGAAUUUGCCCAAGUUUCAGAAUCUCCCGAAGCUGUGUCGAUGACAACAGUGAAUGAAGAGUUUGGUGUUGAUUCCUCAAGUCUAAAUGAAGGGGAAAGUACAGGUAGAGAAAUGUUAGAAGUGCUAGAUUCUAAUGCCAAAAUGGCACAGACCAAUACCUUCUUCAGCAUUAGUGACAUUCUGCCUGCCAAUAUAGGCGAUGCCUCGGAGGGGACUACUGUUUCAGUUGGGAGGGAGAUGCUAAUUGGGGAAAAUCAAAAGGAACCACCCGAAAGCAAGACACUAAAUGGUGAAGAUCAAAAGAUUCCACUGCUUGCACAUGAGCAUGACAUGGAUGCGCCAUUGAUACAUCAGGAGGUUGUUCAGGCAUCAGAUGACGCUGAUGGUUUGGGUUUGAAGCAUCAUGAUCGAGGCGAAAACUUGGAGCUUGAAGGCAAUCAUGUAUCCUCUUUGCCUGAGCUCGGCAAGAAUUUUGCAAAGUUGACCCCUGGAGACGUCAAGGAGGCAGCACCUGCUAUGGGUGAAGUUGUUGAGGCACAUAUUAUGCAUGCUGAGCAUUCUGCUAACCAUGAGUCAGAUGAGUUAACCUUUCCUUCUUCGCCUGCAUUUGACCCAGAUCGAGUUCUGCAUAUUACUCCAGAGUGUCUAAACCAGCAGGAAGAGCAGGUAACUGAUAAUGGCAACUCAAACAUGUCAUUGGCAUCUGAUGAACUUGGCAUCUUAGAUGAUGCACAAGAUAAUGAUGACAUGAAGGCUGCUAAAUUUAGUGAGGGUUGUCAACAACAUUACGCAUUGGUGGGAUCUGUGGAGGAUAAAGACAUGAACCAUAAAGGGCAUCGGGACGGUACAACAAGUUUGUCACAGGCUGUCUUCCCUCUUUCAGCGGAUACGAGCUCUAUUAGCCUCUCAGAGCUUACAGAGGUGAUAAAGAAACUUAGUGAAGAUGAAUAUAAUUUGAUGCUUCAAGCAAGGGAAUCAGUUUCUAGUGCAAAUCUAGGGUUGAGUUUUAGUUCUCCGGUUGAAGAACGCAGCUGUUCGGGAGUUGUAGAACAUCUCGAAGAAGAACUGGUUUCAUUAAACUUUACAAAAGAUAUCUUCCAUUUGCAGCUAGAGGAAUGUUCCAAGUUGCAGAACGAAUUUUUUAAUCAGCGGUUUCAGUUGACUGAUGAGAUAUCUAUGCUCCAAAGUUCACUAGCUGCUGUUCAGGAGAAGAACGAUUCUCUCACUGAGGAGCUUUGGCAGUGCAGGUCUGAACAUGAUGCAGUUAUUCGUGGGAGAGAUGAUUUCUGCAGUCAACUUAAUGCUGCAAGGGACGACCUUCAGGAGUUGGGCGCAAGGGCAUUCGAGCUGCAGAAUUCACUGGAAAUGUCACAGGAAAAUUUGAGGAACCAAUCAAGAGAUUUGGCUGAUUGUAGGAGUUCAAUGGCGGCCUUGCAGAUUGAAAAUGAAAGAUUGAAUGGAAUCAUUAGCUUUGGGGUUGAGGAGAGAAAGAAUCUCGGGGAUGAAAAGGAGAAUUUUUUGCGUGAGAAUCAGAGGUUGUUGAUUGAGCUGGAUGAAAGCCAGAGAUUGGUGAGAGGUCUACAGGCUGAAAUUGCAACUUUAAAUGGAGACCAUGCUUCCAUGUUGGAGGGAAGUAAAAAACUUGAGGAAGAGAAGGAACAUCUUGCUCGAGAAAUUGAAGGUUUAUCCACAGAAGUAAUUGGUUUAAAGGGUUUGGUGGAGGCCUUAGAGGUUGAAAAGGCCAACUUACAUGAGUCCCUUACUCUGUUGACAGAGGAGGUAAACAAGACUAGGAAGGAGAAUGAUCAUUUUGCCCUUGAGUCUGAGAGACUCUCAUCUGAGGUCCUUGUUCUUCGGGAGCAGUUAUCAAUAAAGCAGAAUGACCACAUGCGAGCUGAAGAAGAUCUUAAAGGAAAAACAUUUCGCAUUGAACAGCUGACUGAGGAAAAUCUUUCUCUUAGUGACAGUCUGGACUUAUACCUUGCCAAGAUGAAGGAAUUGGAUGACAAGCGAACCCAAAUUGAAUCAUCAGCUGAGGAAGCUGGGAGCGAAGUCAAAUCUAUGGAAGCACAAGGCCUAAAAGGGGUAGUUGAUGCUACAGGCCUUUCAGAAGCUCUCAUAAACAGAGCUGGUGAAGUGUCAUCUCCUCUGGUGGAGAAACCGCUAUCUCACAGCCAGAUAACAGGAAGUCAAGCUGGACUGGUUAUGGAGGAACUCUCUAAUGAAUGUUCUGAAUUUCUUGGUCUGAGCAGACUCUUGAAGAAGAUGGAGAAAAUAGUUCUAAAACUUGAGAGGGCAGUUGAUAGUAUGCAUUCUGAAUCUACAUCCUCAAGCAAGGCAGGUGGAAAAGUGGCAGCAGCUGGAGUGUCGAAACUGAUCCAAGCAUUUGAGUUGAAGACACAUCUUGAUGAACAUGAGGAAGAGGAAAGGGGUGAAGAUCAACCAGAGACAGAUCCUUACUCUUCCUCACAGGAGCAGAUAGGAAAUCUGAAAGCAAUAUGUAAGCAGUUGAGUUUUGAUGUCGAUAGUGCUGCUUCGCUCUUUAAGGGAGAACUGGAUGGUAGAGGAGCUGCUAAUGGGAUGAUUAGGGAACUGAAGAUUCAAUGUGAAACUUUGAGGGAACACUCUCACACUCUCGAAGCAAGUGCCAUCGAAUUGGGAGUUCUUUAUGAAGUGCUGAAGCAAAGCAUGUCGAGCCUUGAAUCAGACCACAGUCAACUUGAGGCAUGUUGUGAAGCCUUGAAACAGCAGAACACAGUUCUUAGAGCAGAAAACACUGAGCUUAGUGAUAAGCUUGGGGAGUGCCAAAACAGAAAGGACAAUUUGGGGAGUCAGUUGCGUGAGUUACAGCAAUACUCGAAUGAAACAAUGUCUGCGUUGCAAAGUCGGUUUGAAAGUUUCCGGACACAGGCUACUGAGAGGACAGUAAUGCUUCAGCUAGAAUGGAAUGUACUUGUUGAUGAAAUUGUUGAGACAGUGUGUAAACUAGAUGAGCCUACAUCUAAUAUCUUAGUUCGAAAUUUUGAUGGCUUGGACAUGAGCAGCCAUGUUACUGCUUCUGUUAGUGCUGCCAUUGAAGUGAUUGAGAAUUUGCAGGGAAAACUGGGAGACAUCUCCAAGGAUCGCGAAGCAAUCAUUGGGCUAUACAAGGACUCAAAUGAAAAGUUGUGUGAUUUGCAGGGGAAGAGUGAAUUGGCUGUAGCUUUACUGAAUAGUCUGUAUAGUAACCUUAGAAAAACUGUACAUUCUUCACUGAGGUCUGUGGAACAUAGUGAGACUCAGAUAGAAACAGAGGGACUCCAUAAUCCUCUAGAUCCAAGUAAUUAUGAUUCUCUUAUGGAACAAGUGGCCAAUAUUCUCAGUGAGAGGCUGCAACUUGUCUCUGAAAUCGAUCUUCUCAGGUCUCAGCUGGAUAGCAGAAUGCAAGAAAUUCAGGAACUUAAUGCCAGAUGUGUCAAUAUGGAUUUGAUUCACAAGUUUAUUGAAGAUGUCAAAACUGUAGUAAAUGGUGAAGAGGUAGAAGGCUUUGAUGGACCUCCUCUUUCUUGUUUGGGGUCAUUAAUUUCCAUCCUUGUUCAGAAAUAUAGAGACGCUAAUGAGCAUUUGGUAUUCUCUAGAGAAGUGAUUGGAUCCAAGGAGAUGGAAUUGUCAGAAUUGCAGGAAAUUCAGUCAAAUUCAUUGAAUCUUCAGCAUGAGAAUGAAAUCCUUAUUCUUAAGGAAAGCUUGAGCCAGGCAGAGGAAGCAAUUAACGUGGCUCGAAGACAACUUCAUGAUAAAAUAGUUGAACUUGAACAAUCGGAGCAGCGAGUGUCUUCUUUGAGGGAGAAACUUGGCAUUGCCGUUGCCAAGGGGAAAGGUCUGGUUGUGCAGCGUGAUAAUUUAAAGCAGUCCCUGGCAGAUACCUCAAGCGAAUUGGAGAAAUGUUCGCAGGAGUUGCAGUUGAAAGAAGCCAGACUUCUUGAGGUAGAGAUAAAACUUGGGACCUACUCAGAGGCAGGUGAGCGUGUGGAAGCUCUGGAAUCUGAACUUGCAUACAUCCGUAAUUCAGCCAAUGCAUUACGGGAAUCUUUUCUUCUUAAAGACUCAUUAUUACAGAAGAUAGAGGAGAUUUUGGAAGAUCUAGAUCUGCCUGAGCAUUUCCAUGCAAAAGAUAUCGUUCAAAAGGUUGAAUGGUUGGCAAGGUCAGUUUCUGGUAGCUCUUUGCCUCUUGCUGAUUGGGACCAGAAGAGCUCAGUUGGUGGUUCCCACUCAGAUGCUGGUUUUGUUAUCAUGGAUCCCUGGAGGGAAGACAUGCAGCCAGGCUCAAAUUCUAUAGAUGAUUUACGAAGAAAGUAUGAUGAACUCCAAGGUAAAUUUUAUGGUUUGGCUGAGCAAAAUGAAAUGCUUGAGCAAUCAUUGACGGAGAGGAACUACUUAGUGCAGAGAUGGGAAGAACUUUUGGACAAAAUUAAUUUGCCUUCGCAGGGGAGGUCUGUGGAACCAGAGGAAAAGAUCGAGUGGCUAUGCAAUUCAUUCUCAGAGGCUGAAAAUGAUAGGGUUUCUCUACUGAAGAAGAUUGAUGACCUAGAAAGCUAUUGCUCUUCACUUGCUGCUGAUCUGGAAGAAUCACAGAGGAUAAUAUCUGAACUUGAGGCGGAUCUUAAGGAAGUCUCUGAUGGGAGAGAGCAAUUUUCUGAAAGGUUGAAGCUAGUGAGCGAAAACCAUGAGAAACUAUCAGAGACGGCAUUGCAGCUUGAACAUGAGAAUGAAAAACUGAAGACUGAAGCCUUUGAUUUGCAUCAAACAUUGGCUGAGUUGGCUGGAAAUGAGGAAAGUAUUCGGACAACCGAACGAGAGAUAAGAAGAUUGCAGGAAGUUGUUGGUGAUGCAUUAAAUGAUCAUCUUACAGAAGACAUGUAUAAUGGCAGAUCUAGUAUUGCAGUUUUGGAAGAUCUUCUGGAAAAACUUGUUGAGAAGUUCACUGCCCUUCGAUCAACAGAAUCCAUACUUGCUGAUGCAACUGAUAUGCACGAUGAGAAGGCUGAUGCAACCGCCAAUGGGCAAAGAGCGAUGGACACAUUGGGUGGGGAGGAGCCUGGCAUCACGGUUCUGAAGAAGCAACUGGACGAGGCAUUGAGUGAAUUGAUGCAGGUGAAACAGGAGAGAGAUAGCUACUUGGAAAAAAGUGAAUCGCUAUUUCAUGAAGUUGCAGCACUUGGUAAAAGAGGAGACGAGUUGCAAGAAUUACUGAAACAGGAGGAGCAAAAGACUGCGUCUCUGAGAGACAAGUUAAAUGUUGCUGUUAGAAAAGGUAAGUCAUUGGUGCAACAACGGGACAAUUUGAAACAGAACAUGGAAGAGAUAAAUUCAGAAAUGGAUCAUUUGAAAUCUGAGAUCAGCCGCAGGGAAUUUAUUCUAGCGGAGUAUGAACACAAGAUUAGGGACCUAACCUCUUACUCUGGUAGGGUUGAAGCUCUUGAGUCUGAGAUUUUGUUCUUAAGGAAGAGUUUGGAAGAAAAUGAGCUUUCCUGGCAGGAUAAAGGCAGUACUUUGAGCUCAAUUUUAAGUACUUUAUCUGACAUGGAUGUGGGUUCAGAAGUAAUCGCAAGUGACCCUGUUGAAAGAUUGAGACAGAUUGAGCAACUGUGCUAUAAGUUACGUGGAGCUGUUGCUUCGUCGGAACAGGAGUCAAAGAAAUCUAAAAGGGCGGCAGAACUACUCCUUGCAGAGUUGAAUGAGGUUCAAGAGAGGAAUGAUAGUCUACAGGAGGAGAUAGCACAAGUAGCCAGUGAGCUUACCGAAAUUUCUCAUAUAAAGAAUGCUGCAGAGGCUGCCAGGCUCCAAGCUAUUUCACGGUAUGAAAGUUUAUCUUCUGUUCACAAUGAGGAAAGGAGGAAGCUGUCUUCUGAGUUCACGAAAAUGAAAUCUUCCUUAGAACUUCUCUGGAAGGUUUUCUCUGAAUUCAAUGGCUUGCUAGCUGAUGUUCUGUCCGAGGACUAUGAAAUUCUGCACAAUCUGGGAACUGCUAUCGAGUCGUCUCUUGGAAAAAUUGACGCUAUUGCUGCGAUUGGGCCAUUCAAGUCUAGUUCUCUUCGUGUUAUUACCAAUCACGCUGAAAAGGAUAAGUUUUUCUUUAAUAGUAGUGGGUCAGAUUCUGAGACUUUGCACCAGUUUGUCGAUAAAGAUCUACCCGAAAUUUGGAGUUUCUUUGAGAAUCAACUGCAAAAAUUCUCUUCAGGGAUUGUUUCUUUAAAGGAUGAUCUGCACAAACAUUCUAGUGCAUUUAAAGAACAGGCCGGCAGUCUUUCCAAAGUGUUAACUGUUGUUGACAGAGAAAUUAUUGGCCAAAAGGAGUCAUCCGAAUUGGCUGAGAGAGAUGUGGAACGUUUAAAGUCAACUCACAGAGAAAAGGACAUAGAGAUUUCUUUGCUGCGCCGUGGCAUGGCCUUGCUUUGUGAAGCAUGCUCCAGUUCCCUUGCAGAAAUUGAAAAUUGUCAAGCUGCAUUGUUAGGGAAGAAUUUGGCUACUGUCGAGUCGAGAACAAACAUGGAUUCCCUCUGUGGGGGAUUUUCUGCUGAUGAUACCCGCUUUUCAUCAGAGGAAUUUUUAAAAAAUUUUGCUGGUGGACUCCUGACAAGUGUGAAAAAUUUUGCCUCUGUGAAAGCUGAAAUUAUUGACAACAGUCAGAAAGAAUUGAAGAGUAUGGUAGCAAAUUUACAGAAGGAGCUUCAGGAGAAAGACAUCCAGAAAGACAGGAUUUGCAUGGAGCUUGUGAAUCAGAUUAAGGAAGCUGAAGUUGCUGCUUUAGGGUAUUCAUCGGAUCUUCAAUCUUCCAAAAGUAUGGCCCACAAGUUGGAGAUACGAAUUGCAGAAAUGGAGGCUCAACAUACGUUAUUGCAGAAGAGAUUGAAAGAGAUGCAAGAUGGGCAAGUGGCAACGACAGAAUUACAGGAGAGGCUCCAAUCACUGACAAAUCUACUAGCUUCUAAAGAUCAGGAAAUUGAGGCACUGAUGCAAGCACUUGAUGAGGAGGAGACACAGAUGGAACACUUGGGCAAAAAGAUUGAAGGGCUGGAGAAAGUUUUGCAACAAAAGAAUCUGGUUGUGGAAGAGCUUGAAGCUUCUCGAGGGAAGGCUUUGAAAAAGCUUUCUAUAACAGUGAAUAAAUUUGAUGAACUUCAUCAUUUCUCAGUUAGUCUUCUUGCUGAGAUCGAAAAGCUUCAAGCCAAAAUAAAAGAACAGGAUUGUGAGGUGUCUUUCUUGAGGCAAGAGGUCACAAGAUGCACCAAUGACGUUCUUGUGUCAUCUCGGUUGAGUAAUAAUGGAACUGCCGAAGACUUCUUUGAGUUCUUAACAUGUAUUGAGACCUUGGUACCUGGGCUUCCAUUGCAUGAUGUCAGUGAUAAGAAGAGCAUUCAGGUGAGUGAAUACAAGGAAUUGCUUCAGAAGAAGAUUGAGGCUAUUGUUUCUGAAUUGGAAGAUUUAAGGGCAGCAGCACGUAGUAAGGAUGCCUUAUUGCUGGUAGAAAGAAGUAAAGUAGAGGACUUGACACGCAAAGGAGAGACUCUUGAAAGGUCUUUACGUGAAAAGGAAUCCCAAUUAAACUUACUUCAAGGUGUGGAAGAUUCAAGGCAGCCAACUGGCAUGACUUCUGAAAUUGUGGAACUUGAACCGGUGAUGAACAAGUGGGCUGUGACUGCUACUUCCAGCACCCCUCAAGUGCGCAGUUUGCGUAAGGCAAAUAAUGACCAAGUUGCCAUUUCCAUUGAUGAAGAUCCCACUACCAGUUCCAGGUUAGAAGAUGAGGAUGACGAUAAAGUUCAUGGUUUCAAGUCACUUACAACAUCAAGAAUUGUCCCAAAAUUUACAAGACCUUUGACAGACAUGGUUGACGGGCUCUGGGUCUCUUGCGACCGGGCAUUGAUGAGACGACCUGCUUUACGGCUUAGCAUUAUUUUGUAUUGGGCUGUAUUGCAUGCACUCCUUGCUUCUUUUGUAGUAUAAGCAGAGGAGACUGAGACGCAUCUUCCACCAAGCAACUCUUGAGUGUGAUGAUAUUGGUCUUCUGGUCUUUAGCUGCUUUUAGUUGUCUAUCCGACAUUGCGGACCAUAAAGUAGGUGUAUUACGUCUGUUAUCCGGCUGUACAAUUCGAUGCUAUCAACCAUGUUGAAAAUUCAUGAGUGGGCACCAAGCCUGCCUGACAGAUCAUUUUUGUUUUAUUCUUUUUGGGGUCAAUUAGAUAUUGUCAAGGUUCAUUUAUUAUUUAGCUAAACCAGGCAACUGCGAUUUCUCAGUUUUUUUAUACAUGUGAAUCUCAGGAUGCUUGGUUAUAGUUGAAUAAAAGAAGGAAAAAGGGGAGUUCUGGUGGCCAUUUACAGGAUUAUACUGAUUACAAAUUGUGUUACAUGACUCUUACUUGUGAACCAUACAAAAGCUUGUAUAUCUCCUAUUAUUUCAAUGUUUGAAAACUGGCCUCUUCCUUUGACGC